GACAAGUAUAUAAAGAAACUAUUAUGGAUGGUUAGCUAUAUAUUUCAAGAUAUUGAUCUAGAAAAAUAUAAACUAGAAAUCAUAGAGAAAUCUAAUUAUAAGACAAAGUGAAUUGAAAUAUCUUAGUAACUUUAGUAAAAGAAAUCAAACGAGAUUGUUAUUUGGUGUCUUCUGAAUAGCAAAAGCCUUAAUAAAUAAUUACUAAAAUUAAUGAUAGUAAUUAUUUAUAGUAAAUAUAUUAAAUGAUAUAUUUAAGUAUAACGGAAAAAAAUCUGUUGAAAAAUAGGGGAACCUUCCUCUAAGGCUAAAAAAAAUAUAUAAGCGAUAGAGUAACAGUACCGUGAGGGAAAUACCCUGAAAUAGUAGUUUUAUAAGCAGCUCAAGUUAAAAUUUAAAUAAAUAAUAAGAGCGUACCUUUUGCAUAAUGGGUCAGCAAGUUAAUUUUAGAUGCAAGUAACAUCUCUUUUAUAAGCAUUUACACAUUUAGAAUAUUAUCAUUUACAAUAGAUGAUAACAAUAUAGAUAUGUAAAUUUAUUAAUAAAAUUAGGAGAUAGAUACGUAGAUAAACCAAUUAUGAAAAAAUGAAUUAGUAUCUAGAAUUAGACCCGAAGGCUAGUGAUCUUACCAUGGUCAGGGUUAUAAAAGCCCGAACGGGUUAUCGUUGUAAAGAUAUCCGAUGAACUGUGGUAAGUUAGUGAAAGACAAAACUGACUAGUAUAGCUGGUUUUCCGCGAAACCUAUGUAAGUAGGUAAUUUAAUUAACAUCUUAGCAGGUACAGAACUGUGAUCUCGGACAAUAUUUAAUAUAUUUGUCAACAUCGGGGGGUUGUAGUGACUUUACCGGAGAGUAUUUGCACUCGGAAGGGCAAAGAUGAAUGUUAAAUAAUCGGACAUAGUGCGAUAAGGUUGUAUGUCUAAAGGGAAACAGCCCAGAACAAGAGUUAAGGUUCCAAAAUUAUUGUUAAGUGAAAUUAAGGAUGUUUUUUUUUAAAACAAUCAGGAAAUAGGCUUAGAAGCGGCCAUUUUUUGAAGACCUCGUAACAGAGCACUGAUUAAUAAAUUAGGAAAAAACGCCGAAAAUUUAACGGAUCUAAAUAAUAUACCGAAACCUUGUACACAAAUAAAAAUUAAAGCGUUAUAGCUUAAUAUUUUGUGGGGUAGCGGAACAUUGGAUUAAACAAAAUAUUAAUAUUUUUCUUAAAAUAUUAAAGAUCUAGCAUCUGUUAAAUCCAAGAGAGAAUGCUGACAUGAGUAACGAAAAAGGCUUUUAGCCUCGCCUGAAGCUUAUGGUUUCAUCUAAAAUCGGUGUCUAAAAAAAUUAAUCAAAAGAUAAUUUUGAUGACGUUUUGUAUAAGAUAAUACCAAAACCUUUAAUAAGUAAUAAAGGUUCUGGAAAAGUUUAUUUUAUUAUUUGAAGUGAAAAAUAUUUAAUACUCAUACUUAUUGGUAUAAAAUUGUAAAUUAUAAUAUAUAAUACAUACUUAUUAUUAUAUUGUGAUUUACAAAUAUAAUAGAAUGAGUAAAAUAAAUAUAUUUUAACCAAAUAAUAGUCUUUAUCUAUAAUUAUAAUAAUAUAAUAUAAUAAUUAUUAAUAAUUAAUUACCAUUAGAUUAUUAAUAUGUAUUUAUAGGCUAUAUUUGAAUUGUAUAUCAAGAUUCUUAUAUAGAUAUAUCUAUAUCUAUUAAACGUUAUUAGAAAUAAUAUUAUAAUAUAUAGAAAAGAUAACAUUAUACUGGAAAAUAAUAAAUAACCGUACCUAGAAACUAACUCAAGUAAGCAAGUAGAGAAUACAAAGGCGUUUGAGAGAACAAUCAUUAAGGAACUCGGCAAAUUGACUCUGUACCUUUGGAAUAAGGAGGACCAUUAUUAUUAAAUUUAACAUAUAAUAAAGUAUGUAAUUAAAUAUGAAAAAUUAAAUUAAUAAUAAGAGGAAUCAUGAAAUAAUGUUGUACGACUGUUUAAUAAAAACACAGCACUCUGCAAAGAUAAAAAAUCAAAGUAUUGAGUGUGAUGUCUGCCCAAUGUCGGCUGGGUAACGGAUCUACCUUGAUUAUUAACUGAGGUUUUGAAGGACACCCCGAUUAAUGGCGGCCUUACCUAUGAGGGUCCUAAGGUAGCGAAAUACCUUGGCCGUUAAAUGCGGUCCUGCAUGAAUGAUUUAACGAUGCAACAGCUGUCUCGAUGAUUGUCUCAGUGAAAUUGGAAUAGCAGUGCAGAUACUGUUUACCUCUAGAUAGACGAGAAGACCCUAUGCAGCUUUACUGUUACUAAUUAUAAGAGUGAAAUUUUAGGAUGAUUUAUAGUGUAUAAGGUAGUUGUUGAGAUAAUAAUGAAACACCUUUAUUCGAAUCCUUAUAUAUACUCUUAAUGAUUAGAAGGCAGUUUAUGCGGGGCACAGAUCCCACAAAAAGUACCUGGGUAUAUCCAAAGUUCAUAUUGUAAACUUGUAUAUUUAUAUACAAAUAUUUUAAUUUGUUCUAAUUAUUAUUAUAAUUAUACAGUUAUUAUUCGAUUAAAUUCCACAAUUAUUUUUUAUUUUAAGUAAGAUUUUAACUAUGCGGUGAAUAGAUGUAUUUUAAACUUUACUGGACUUUUAGUUCAAAGAUUUAAAAGUUUAUUUGUUAUAUUAAUAAAGUAUUUAUCUUUAUUAAUAUAAUAUUUAUUAAUACUUUAAAAGUUUAAUGGCUAAAUCUUGCUUUACUGUUUGACCUACAAGUCUAUCAGUCGCGUAAGCGGGGCAUAUGAUCACAAGAUGCAUUAAGGAAAGGUCUUGGAUUAUAGAAAAAGUUACGCUAGGGAUUUAUAACUGUGAGUCCUCCAAUAUUAUAAAAUAUUGGUAAU
rfam:Penicillium chrysogenum Wisconsin 54-1255 complete genome, contig Pc00c49